rnacentral:rRNA from 1 species
UACGUAGGGUGCGAGCGUUGUCCGGAAUUACUGGGCGUAAAGAGCUCGUAGGUGGUUUGUCGCGUUGUCCGUGAAAACUCACAGCUCAACUGUGGGCGUGCGGGCGAUACGGGCAGACUGGAGUACUGCAGGGGAGACUGGAAUUCCUGGUGUAGCGGUGGAAUGCGCAGAUAUCAGGAGGAACACCAAUAGCGAAGGCAGCUCGCUGGGACGGUAUUGACGCUAAGGCGCGAAAGCGUGGGGAGCAAACAGG